rnacentral:tRNA from 1 species
AGUUAAUUAGCUUAUUGAAAGCGUAUGUUUUGAAAGCAUAAGACAGAAGUUUAAUUCUUCUAUUAACUU